rnacentral:rRNA from 1 species
UAAGGAAUAUUGGUCAAUGGACGCAAGUCUGAACCAGCCAUGCCGCGUGAAGGAUGAAGGUCCUCUGGAUUGUAAACUUCUUUUAUCUGGGACGAAAACGGGAUUUUUAUCUCAAUUGACGGUACCAGAGGAAUAAGCACCGGCUAACUCCGUGCCAGCAGCCGCGGUAAUACGGAGGGUGCGAGCGUUAUCCGGAUUUACUGGGUUUAAAGGGUGCGUAGGUGGGCUUAUAAGUCAGUGGUGAAAUCUCCGAGCUUAACUUGGAAACUGCCGUUGAUACUAUAGGUCUUGAAUUAUCUGGAGGUAAGCGGAAUAUGUCAUGUAGCGGUGAAAUGCUUAGAUAUGACAUAGAACACCAAUCGCGAAGGCAGCUUACUACAUAUAAAUUGACGCUGAGGCACGAAAGCGUGGGG